rfam:TPA: Bos taurus chromosome 17, whole genome shotgun sequence.
CCCCUGGCGGUCCAAUGGUUAGGACUCGGCACUUCCACUGCCAUGGCCCAGGUUCAAUCCCUGGUCGGGGAA